rnacentral:rRNA from 1 species
AUGACGCGCCGCCUUCUGACGGCAUGCAAGCGAGCCCUUGCGCGGCUUUUCCGCAUCCCGGCCACCGCCGCCCUCUCUAUCAGGGCCUUCCGGUUCCGCAAUCUCCGCAAGUCCACCGCCAAGAUGAGCCCCCGCCACCGGCAUCGUGCCGGCCGAGGCUUCCGGGUAGUUGCUGCGGCGGUGCCAGAGGUGCCGGUGCCGUCGCCAGAAACGCCUGCGUGUGUGAAGAUGGUGGCGCGGCUGCGGUCGAGGACGACCACGCGAAUUGGAGAGGAGAAAGAGGAGGCAUGCCGGAGUUUUGAGAGCUGCCUGAUGGAGAUUUUGACGGAGGAAGGCAAAUCGCGGGACCUGCAGGACGUGGAGGAACUCCUACAGUGCUGGGAGCGGCUCAAGUCGCCGGUGUUCGUCGAUCUAGUCUGCCGGUUCUACGGCGAUCUGUGCAAGGACUUAUUCUCCUCCGCCGCUGGGGGUGAGGACGCCGGAAACACUGACCAGGACCUGGGGCAAGUUUCCAUGUCGGCUGCUUUACUAGUGUAA